AUGGUCAGAAAUUUGCGAACUCAGGUUCUCUGGAAAGAGAGAAUUUCAUACUCCAUUUUUCUCCUUGAGGAGUCAUCUCCUAAAAUGAAGCAUAUCCUGAUAAUCCCGUUGCUUCCCUCGUCUUCUUCUAUUCGCGACAAGAUUGCAGAUGUAGAGUUUUCUAGAAUUGCUUGUACAAUCCGUACUUUUUCUGGAAUUGCUUGUUCAGUCUGUAAUCUUCAACAACUCGAUCUUGUUUAA